rnacentral:rRNA from 1 species
UGGAUGAUGUGGUUUAAUUCGAUGCAACGCGAAAACCUUACCCACCUUUGACAUGGCAGGAAUCCUGAAGAGAUUUGGGAGUGCUCGAAAGAGAACCUGCACACAGGUGCUGCAUGGCUGUCGUCAGCUCGUGUCGUGAGAUGUUGGGUUAAGUCCCGCAACGAGCGCAACCCUUGCCAUUAGUUGCUACGAAAGGGCACUCUAAUGGGACUGCCGGUGACAAACCGGAGGAAGGUGGGGAUGACGUCAAGUCCUCAUGGCCCUUAUAGGUGGGGCUACACACGUCAUACAAUGGCCGGUACAGAGGGUAGCCAACCCGCGAGGGGGAGCCAAUCCCACAAAGCCGGUCGUAGUCCGGAUCGCAGUCUGCAACUCGACUGCGUGAAGUCGGAAUCGCUAGUAAUCGCGGAUCAGCAUGUCGCGGUGAAUACGUUCCCGGGUCUU